CUGUUAUCAGUCCUGUUCUCCCUAGUUCAUUCACCUCACCUGUAUGUAAUCGGUAAUCAAGUCUCCGUGUAUUUAACCACCACCUGUGUCCUUAGUUCUCCGCCAGAUUGUCGUGUUUCAUCAGUGUCGCGUGUUUCCUGAGAGUUCUGAGUUUCGUUCGUGUUUCAUCAGUGUCGCGUGUUUCUUGAGAGUUCCGUGUUUCUUCAGCGUUCGUGUUUCUUAUGCAAUGUCAGGUCGCAAUGCUCCUGACACUCUCUGGAGUUAACGCGCAGUGGAGCUUCAAAGACGUGUCUUUCACGAGUCGGAAGAUAGUAUGUGGCACGCCGCUGAGGAGCUUUGAGGACACAAGCGGCUGCUUAAAUCCUUUGUCCAGAACGUAUGCAACCUGAAAUGGGUG